UUUGUUCUCAACUGAUAUCUCCUUCAUAUUUCUCAACAAAUCCACUAAUUGUUAUCUCCGUCAUCACUCUCAUCUAUCUUUCCAUCUCUUUCAAAUCAUUUAAAAGCUUCUUUUAGGAUAAUCAUCAUCUUCAGGUAGUAACAUUAGCUCAUUAUGCAGUCAGUUAUUGCUAUCACUGGAUUCUAAAGCAGCUCUCUAUGAAUAAAAAAGAAGACGAGAAAGCGAAUAAGAUAACUUUUAGGAGCGUCCCGGAAUUUAGAGGGCUAUUUGUUGACCAAUGUUUGGCACAAGCUACUGAGUAUGGGUUUUCUGGAACUUCUUUGAAACAAACUUCGUGGGGAAAUUUGUGCAAGUUCUUUUCUGAGAAGUAUGAGUGCACUAUCUCACACAAAAGAAAUUGAGAAACCACUGGGAUUACUUGCGCAACCAAUAUGUUAUGUCACUUGGUCCCGUCUCUUAGCAAGAAACAAAAGAAAAUGCACUAUCAAAAUGAUAUGAAUGAGACACAGGUGGAAGUGA